rnacentral:tRNA from 1 species
UAGCUCAGUGGUAGAGUGCUUGCUUAGCAAGCAUGAGGCCCUGAGUUCAAUUCCUAG